GCAGCCUGAUGCAGCGACGCCGCGUGAGGGAUGACGGCCUUCGGGUUGUAAACCUCUUUCACCAGGGACGAAGCGCAAGUGACGGUACCUGGAGAAGAAGCACCGGCCAACUACGUGCCAGCAGCCGCGGUAAUACGUAGGGUGCGAGCGUUGUCCGGAAUUACUGGGCGUAAAGAGCUCGUAGGUGGUUUGUCGCGUUGUUCGUGAAAACUCACAGCUCAACUGUGGGCGUGCGGGCGAUACGGGCAGACUGGAGUACUGCAGGGGAGACUGGAAUUCCUGGUGUAGCGGUGGAAUGCGCAGAUAUCAGGAGGAACACCGGUGGCGAAGGCGGGUCUCUGGGCAGUAACUGACGCUGAGGAGCGAAAGCGUGGGGAGCGAACAGGAUUAGAUACCCUGGUAGUCCACGCCGUAAACGGUGGGUACUAGGUGUGGGUUUCCUUCCUUGGGAUCCGUGCCGUAGCUAACGCAUUAAGUACCCCGCCUGGGGAGUACGGCCGCAAGGCUAAAACUCAAAGAAAUUGACGGGGGCCCGCACAAGCGGCGGAGCAUGUGGAUUAAUUCGAUGCAACGCGAAGAACCUUACCUGGGUUUGACAUGCACAGGACGUGCCUAGAGAUAGGUAUUCCCUUGUGGC
rnacentral:rRNA from 1 species